CUGUGCGUCUUUAGCGCGUCUCCGCUCCACUCGCGUAUUAACGCACGCGUCUGUCCCCAAACCCCAAACCGAACCGAACUAAACCCGAGUCCAGACCCGAGCCCGAACCCUGGAGCAGCUGUGACGGGACCAUAGCGGGACAAAGAGCAGGACAGACCCGAGGAGAGGACAGAGAAUGCGGCGGGGAUAGCAGCGCUGUAACGGUGUGCACGGAGUAAUCCCGUGUGCAUGGCUCUGCAGCGCCGCCUGCUGGUGGGGCUGGGGACCGCCUCCUCGGUCUUUAUCGUCUAUCUGCUGUGUCUGCGCCUCGACUCUCCGCUCAGUUUUGUCCGGCAAACAGAGACGAUCAGCCUCGUCAUACUCCCCAGGUGAAGGCUCGAUUACUUAAUGAAGCGCAUGACAACUUAAUUCCUGACCAAGACUCGCUCAAGAUCAAGAUUCAUCCCAAAGCUCCUGACACUCAGACACUGAAGGAUGCGUCGAAUGGAGGGGACAAUAAAGUGAACAAUAAAUCCGACAUAUUACGUUAAUGUUUGAUCUCUGUUAUGAUGCUGUGUCUUUAUCACAAAUAGACCUGGAGUUGCAUUUUGUUUCAUUCACACACGUUUAACGCACUAUAAAGUUAUAAACUAC
ensembl:lncRNA